rnacentral:lncRNA from 1 species
UACAAAAUAUAUUUACAGACAGACUCGGUCAGUACACAUUGGCAGAUGGAACACAUUGACAACAUUAAGUUAAUAAAAGAGGAUCAGGUAGAUGGGAUAGAUCAGAAGAUGCCGGGAGAUGUGCGGCAACCUUUUAUUCCUUCUUUUUAUAAAUUCCCACAUAAACAAUGCCUACCAAUGCUGAAACUCCAUCCAGUGCAACUGCUGCUAUUACAUCUAUUAUUUUAUCUGAUGAACCUGAUAAGACACUUAUAAAAAAAUAAUUGAUACGCUUAGUUGGUGCAGUCUUUCCAUCAACAGAUUGAUUUGAGAGCAAAGAGGAAUUUCUUCAGAUACAACACGCCUACAACUCGAUGUUCAACAUAUAUAGCUUUAUCCACCAUGAAACAAUAUAAAUACUUACAACAAAUCAUAUGAUUUCUCAUAAACAAAAACAAAUCGCAUUAUUGAUGAAAAAGAAAUAAAUAGUAGUACCCCUUGACUGCUAAUAGUAGUACCUCUUGACUGCUAGCAGAAUUAUACCAUUAGCUUGAUUAUCAUAAAUGUUAUAGAAAGAUAAAGCAGUGAACUCUAGUUAGUCUCCACACUAACACAAACUUGAUUUAUAAAAUUCGAGUACGUCAUAUUUUUGAAAAAAAAAAAGUUCAAACUUAAAUAUGAAAAUGUGUAAAUGACUAAAUGUUUAUAAAAUGCUAUCUACAACACCCUCCACAACUUUAACCAUCCAAAAUUUAUCAUCCAUUUGUUUGUUUGCUUGUUCUUUUCUCUUAUCCUUCUUUUUUUUUUUUUUUUGGAAUAUUGUAAGAUAUAUUAUCUUACCAAACUUCAUUUUACCAAUUUCUACCGUUAUAAGAAGCCACUCAUUGUUUUUCGAUAUGUGUUCUGCAGUAUUAAAAUAAAUUUUCACACUCAGGAGUUGCACCGGUCAUGAUGACUUUCAAUCCAAAGGUCAACGAAAAGAGUAGUACACUUUCAUCAGUGAAAACUUUCAAAAAUCACAACCUAAACAAUUAAAGAGUAUAGUAGAACUUCACUUGUGCAGAAGCUAGAUUAAAGAAAACAGUACCUGAAAUAAUAGCAAUAUCAUUCCUAAAUUUCUCAAACGUCUUUCCAUAAUCUUUAGAAAGGAAGCAUUUCAAAGAUUCUAAGACAAUUUCUCAUAGUUUUUUGUUUCUGCUGUCGCUACAAUCUGCCAAAAAAAACAUAACCCAAAAUCAAAAGCCAUGUUCUUUCCUUCAAUAUCAUCAAACGAUCCACAUGCAAAAGCAAGUACCGAAAAAUUCAUCGUACCAGAAACCAUUUAGAUUGAAGCAGAGGAAACUAUUCAUUCAUUAACUUAAGCUCAUCUUACAAUGGUUUCAUUGUCGAUCUCCGAAAGAAAAAUUGCUG